UACGAAGGGGGCUAGCGUUGCUCGGAAUCACUGGGCGUAAAGCGCACGUAGGCGGAUCUUUAAGUCAGGUGUGAAAUCCCGGAGCUCAACCCCGGAACUGCCUUUGAUACUGAGGGUCUCGAGUUCGGGAGAGGUGAGUGGAACUGCGAGUGUAGAGGUGAAAUUCGUAGAUAUUCGCAAGAACACCAGUGGCGAAGGCGGCUCACUGGCCCGAUACUGACGCUGAGGUGCGAAAGCGUGGGGAGCAAACAGG
rnacentral:rRNA from 1 species